rnacentral:rRNA from 1 species
UACGGAGGGGGCAAGCGUUGUCCGGAUUUACUGGGCGUAAAGAGCGCGCAGGCGGCUGGUCAAGUCCGAUGUGAAAUCUCCCGGCUUAACUGGGAAACUGCAUCGGAAACUGAUCGGCUUGAAGGUGGGAGAGGGUAGUGGAAUUCCCGGUGUAGUGGUGAAAUGCGUAGAUAUCGGGAGGAACACCAGUGGCGAAGGCGGGCAUCUGGGCCAACACUGACGCUGAGGCGCGAAAGCUAGGGGAGCAAACAGG